rnacentral:rRNA from 1 species
AUUGAACGCUGGCGGCAUGCUUUACACAUGCAAGUCGAACGGCAGCGCGGGCUUCGUCCUGGCCGCGAGUGGCGGACGGGUGAGUAAUGCAUCGGAACAUGCCCAGUCUUGGGGGAUAGCCCGGCGAAAGCCGAAUUAAUACCGCAUACGACCGGAUGUUGAAAGCGGGGGACCGAAAGGCCUCGCGCUAUUUGAGCGCCCGAUGUCGGAUUAGCUAGUUGGUGGGGUAAAGGCUUACCAAGGCGACGAUCCGUAGCUGGUCUGAGAGGACGACCAGCCACACUGGGACUGAGACACGGUCCAGACUCCUACGGGAGGCAGCAGUGGGGAAUUUUGGACAAUGGGGGCAAGCCUGAUCCAGCCAUGCCGCGUGCGGGAAGAAGGCCUUCGGGUUGUAAACCGCUUUUGUUCGGGAAGAAAUCCUCUGGGCUAAUACCACGGGGGGAUGACGGUACCGGAAGAAUAAGCCCCGGCUAACUACGUG